UGUGGACACCACUAAAGAUCCCUGCCAGAAAGUCAAAUGCAGCCGAAAUAAGGUGUGUGUCGCCCAGGGCUACCAACGUGCUGUGUGCGUCAACCGCAAAAAGCUGGAGCACAGGUUGAAGCAGCAGGUCAUUAGACAGCAGCAGGAGAGUAACUGUAAGCCUUGCCCAGUAUCUUCCUCUGGUCCCGUUUGUGGCUCUGAUGGACACAACUAUGCCUCUCAGUGCAAACUGGAGCAGCAGGCUUGUCUCACAGGAAAGGAGUUGAAAGUAAGAUGUGCUGGUCUCUGCCCCUGUACUGCCACCGUGGCUCCUGCUACAGACGUGGACAGCAAACAAGAGAGUUGCACAGGGCAGGACCUGGCAG